AACGAACGCUGGCGGCAGGCCUAACACAUGCAAGUCGAGCGAGGACUUCGGUCCUAGCGGCGGACGGGUGAGUAACGCGUGGGAACGUGCCCCUUGGUACGGAAUAGCCCCGGGAAACUGGGAGGAAUACCGGAUGAGCUCUACGGAGGAAAGUUUUAUCGCCAAGGGAUCGGCCCGCGUUGGAUUAAGGAGUUGGUGGGGUAAUGGCCUAUCAAGCCUACGAUCCAUAGCUGGUUUGAGAGGAUGAUCAGCCACACUGGGACUGGGACACGGCCCAGACUCCUACGGGAGGCAGCAGUGGGGAAUCUUAGACAAUGGGCGCAAGCCUGAUCUAGCCAUGCCGCGUGAGCGAUGAAGGCCUUAGGGUUGUAAAGCUCUUUCAGCUGGGAAGAUAAUGACUGUACCAGCAGAAGGAGCCCCGGCUAACUCCGUGCCAGCCGCCGCAGUAACAC
rnacentral:rRNA from 1 species